GAUGAACGCUGGCGGCGUGCCUAAUACACGCAAGUCGAGCGAACGGACGAGAAGCUUGCUUUUCUGAUGUUAGCGGCGGACGGGUGAGUAACACGUGGAUAACCUACCUAUAAGACUGGGAUAACUUCGGGAAACCGGAGCUAAUACCGGAUAAUAUUUUGAACCGCAUGGUUCAAAAGUGAAAGACGGUCUUGCUGUCACUUAUAGAUGGAUCCGCGCUGCAUUAGCUAGUUGGUAAGGUAACGGCUUACCAAGGCAACGAUGCAUAGCCGACCUGAGAGGGUGAUCGGCCACACUGGAACUGAGACACGGUCCAGACUCCUACGGGAGGCAGCAGUAGGGAAUCUUCCGCAAUGGGCGAAAGCCUGACGGAGCAACGCCGCGUGAGUGAUGAAGGUCUUCGGAUCGUAAAACUCUGUUAUUAGGGAAGAACAUAUGUGUAAGUAACUGUGCACAUCUUGACGGUACCUAAUCAGAAAGCCACGGCUAACUACGUG
rnacentral:rRNA from 1 species